GGAGGAAAAGAAACCAACAGGGAUUGCCCUAGUAACGGCGAGUGAAGCGGCAACAGCUCAAAUUUGAAACCUGGCGCUUGCGUCCGGAUUGUAAUUUGUAGAGGAUGCUUCUGGGCAGCGGCCGUUCUAAGUUCCUUGGAACAGGACGUCAUAGAGGGUGAGAAUCCCGUAUGUGACCGGCGCGCACCCUCCACGUAGCUCCUUCGACGAGUCGAGUUGUUUGGGAAUGCAGCUCUAAAUGGGAGGUAAAUUUCUUCUAAAGCUAAAUAUUGGCCAGAGACCGAUAGCGCACAAGUAGAGUGAUCGAAAGAUGAAAAGCACUUUGGAAAGAGAGUUAAAAAGCACGUGAAAUUGUUGAAAGGGAAGCGCUUCCAACCAGACUCCGCGGCGGUGUUCCGCCGGUCUUCUGACCGGUCCACUCGCCGCCGUGGGGCCAACAUCGUCUGGGGCCGCCGGAUAAGACCGGAGGAAUGUAGCUCAUUGAGUGUUAUAGCCUCCGGUGAUGCGGCGCGUCCCGGGCGAGGUCCGCGCUUCGGCAAGGAUGUUGGCGUAAUGGUUGGCAGCGGCCCGUCUUGAAACACGGACCAAGGAGUCUAACAUCUAUGCGAGUGUUCGGGUGUCAAACCCCUACGCGUAAUGAAAGUGAACGGAGGUGGGAGCUUCGGCGCACCAUCGACCGAUCCUGAUGUCCUCGGAUGGAUUUGAGUAAGAGCAUAGCUGUUGGGACCCGAAAGAUGGUGAACUAUGCCUGAAUAGGGUGAAGCCAGAGGAAACUCUGGUGGAGGCUCGCAGCGGUUCUGACGUGCAAAUCGAUCGUCAAAUUUGGGUAUAGGGGCGAAAGACUAAUCGAA
rnacentral:rRNA from 1 species